GGUCUGGUCUUGGCACGUGCGCUCUAGCCAACAGCUAAAGAAAAAUMAUUSUUAUUUGUCAAACGGCAGCCAAGCAURUAUCACCAUGUCACCAGAGUAAGACCCUUGAUAUUUGUUGUAAAGAAGCAUCAUGUUCAUUACUGUGGACUUUCWCCACGCUGUGAAGUUCAUCAUAACUUAUUUCAUAGUGUAACAAACUGCAUGCUUUCUUGAGUUGUAGUGGUAUCACAAGAUAUCAUCACGUGACUCCAACUUUAAUAUGAUGGUUAUUAUAUCAAUGUUUGAGCAUAAAGACGUUUCCACUGCUAUUUCUCACAUAAUUCAUUUUACAGACUCAAAAAGAUCCCACCUUGUCUAACAUAUUUUGUUUUGUCGACGUAGUUUACCAACCAAUUUUACCAACAAAUUUGCUCUUUACAUCAGCCCUGUCAUGACAUUUUGUACUUUGUACUUUGUACUUUACUAACAUAAAAAGGUUGGAUGGAAACCUGGUUAAUGGCACAAAAAUGGUUAGAAGACUUUCAGAAACACAUAACAAUUGUUUUAUUGGUAUCCCUUUCUAAUAUAGAAAAAUCUGUUGCGAAGAAGCCUGCCAAAGAAGAGAAAGCAAAGGCAGAGCCUGUUUUAACAGACCCCUUCGCCACAGAAGAUGAGAUGCCUUACUUCCAGUGCUUUUUUGUGGAUGAAGAUGAGGCCCAGUAUCCCUUCUACCCGUUCUCACCUCUCCAGAUGUGAGAGCCCGUGCCCAGGGAAGAACACAGAGUCUAGAAAGCAAUAGACGAGAUGGGCGACACCUUUAGUGUGGAGUUAAUAAUAAACMAUUAAUAAAACCAA